AACGAACGCUGGCGGCAGGCCUAACACAUGCAAGUCGAGCGAACGUAGCAAUACGUGAGCGGCGCACGGGUGAGUAACACGUGGGAACCAACCUUUUGGUUCGGAAUAACGUCGGGAAACUGACGCUAAUACCGGAUAAGCCCUAUGGGGGAAAGAUUUAUCGCCAAAAGACGGGCCCGCGCUAGAUUAGCUAGUUGGUAAGGUAAUGGCUUACCAAGGCUACGAUCUAUAGCUGGUCUGAGAUGAUGAUCAGCCACACUGGGACUGAGACACGGCCCAGACUCCUACGGGAGGCAGCAGUGGGGAAUAUUGGACAAUGGGGGAAACCCUGAUCCAGCCAUGCCGCGUGAGUGAUGAAGGCCUUCGGGUUGUAAAGCUCUUUUGGUGGGGACGAUGAUGACGGUACCCACAGAAUAAGCUCCGGCUAACUUCGUGUCAGCAGCCGCCGUAA
rnacentral:rRNA from 1 species